CGCCCGGUUUCCUAGUGGUUAGAGCGUCUGCCUCGCAUGCGGAAGGUCGCGGGUUCGAACGCCGGCCGUGUCA